AAGAGCUUGCUUGUGGUCCACAAGAAGCACCGCCGCCGCCGGAACCCCGCCGGACCUCGCCGCUGUCCAAAGCCUUAGUCCUUCCGUCCAAGUCUGCUCCUUCCUGACCCCAAGCUUCACGUGUAAGACGAAGGUAAGCUGCCGACCCUUUUUCCACCUCGUCUGACCCCUUCUAUCCGCCCGACCCCUGUUCCGUCUCGC
rnacentral:lncRNA from 1 species